rnacentral:rRNA from 1 species
CCUACGGUGGCUGCAGUGGGGAAUAUUGCACAAUGGGCGCAAGCCUGAUGCAGCCAUGCCGCGUGUGUGAAGAAGGCCUUCGGGUUGUAAAGCACUUUCAGCGGGGAGGAAGGCGGUGAGGUUAAUAACCUCAUCGAUUGACGUUACCCGCAGAAGAAGCACCGGCUAACUCCGUGCCAGCAGCCGCGGUAAUACGGAGGGUGCAAGCGUUAAUCGGAAUUACUGGGCGUAAAGCGCACGCAGGCGGUCUGUCAAGUCGGAUGUGAAAUCCCCGGGCUCAACCUGGGAACUGCAUUCGAAACUGGCAGGCUAGAGUCUUGUAGAGGGGGGUAGAAUUCCAGGUGUAGCGGUGGAAUGCGUAGAGAUCUGGAGGAAUACCGGUGGCGAAGGCGGCCCCCUGGACAAAGACUGACGCUCAGGUGCGAAAGCGUGGGGAGCAAACAGGAUUAGAUACCCCGGUAGUC